AGGGUUAUAGAGUAACUCUUAAUUAUAGGCCGAAAAUAUGGUUCGGCGUUUCUACAAGUCACCCUAAAUGGCUUACUAAGGAGGAGUAAUGAAAAAUA
rnacentral:ncRNA from 2 species